GACGUAGGGGGCAAGCGUUGUUCGGAAUUAUUGGGCGUAAAGCGCUCGUAGGCGGGACUGGAAGUCCGUGUUGAAAGACCUCGGCUCAACUGAGGGACCGGCGCGGAUACUCUAGUUCUUGAGGCAAUCAGAGGGUGAUGGAAUUCCCGGUGUAGAGGUGAAAUUCGUAGAUAUCGGGAGGAACACCAGUGGCGAAGGCGGCGACCUGGACGGACAUUGACGCUGAGACGCGAAAGCGUGGGGAGCAAACAGG
rnacentral:rRNA from 1 species